AUAAACACAGCUUGUGGGCUUCCCUUGCUGCCUCCUUUCUUGGCAUUUAAGACAUACACCUGCCUGCAUUUCAGAUCUUUCUGGCAGGCUCAGGAACACCAGCAGGCUCUUUGCAGCCAUGGGCUGCAUUGAGAAAGUGCAAGAAAACCAAGUGAGGCUCUUGGGCUCUUAGCUCCUCAGCCUGCGUCUCCAGAGUGGCUUGGCUCUGCUCAGCAAGGGAGAGUGUGCACAGCCCAACACACAGGAACCCAGGAGGGGAGCAGGCCAGAAACCCCCACUGAGGGCUACUGCUGUUUGAGCAACCAUAGCCUCAGGAUCUCCAGCGUUCAGCUCUCAUUUCCUGUGACUUCCGAAUGGGCACUUUGAGACAACCCACCUGGUGUCUUUCAUAACCUGGGUCCUGACGGCCCCUGGCAUUUCUUCAUCUGGGAUUGUGAACCCCCGUGGGCCAUGGCUAUGCCCCAUUCCUUGUGACAUACUCUGUGGAGGUGAGUUCAGAACUCAGUCCCCAACAUAUUUAUGGAGGCAAAUAAAAAACCCCAAAGGGGCAAUGCAGAAA
rnacentral:lncRNA from 1 species